rnacentral:rRNA from 1 species
CGGACGGGUGAGUAAUGUCGGGAAAACUGCCCGAUGGAGGGGGAUAACUACUGGAAACGGUAGCUAAUACCGCAUAACGUCGCAAGACCAAGAGGGGACCUUCGGGCCUCUUGCCAUCGGAUGUGCCCAGAUGGGAUUAGCUAGUAGGUGGGGUAACGGCUCACCUAGGCGACGAUCCCUAGCUGGUCUGAGAGGAUGACCAGCCACACUGGAACUGAGACACGGUCCAG